ensembl:rRNA 5S_rRNA 5S ribosomal RNA
GUUUAAGGCCAUACCAUGCUGAAUGCACCCAAUCUCACCUCAUCUUGGAAGCUAAGGAGGGUUGGGCCUGUUUAGUACUUGGAUGGGAGAUAGUGCCAAGUUUUACCCAUAACUGAGCAGCACUGUUUCAAAAU